UAAAGACUCUUUUAUUCAACUAGGUAACUGGUCAGAGUUGAAAACCUUUUGGUAACCACGUAUUUGAUAGAGAACCUUACUAAUUUUCUCUUUCCAACCUCUUGCAGAUAAAAUUUGUUGUCGAUGGACAAUGGAAGAUUGAUCCUCACAGAGAGUCGGCGAUCAAGGGAGCAAUAAGUAACAACAUCCUCCGGGUUGGCAGAUGAUACUAUGAUGGAAAAUGACAUCAAGUAAUUGGCGCCUUAGGCACAAGAACGAACUUCCACAAAGUCGUGCACGGUCGACAGUAACGAGCCUACCUGCUAACACAUGGGGCACAUGAACCCUGUUUCUUCUGGGGGGCUAUUUCUACUUGUCGGACGAAUUGAAAGAUAAAAGGGUUCACUUGUAAUGUAAUCAUGUAUGUGCUUGUGUAUAGCAGCUACUUUUUAAUACAUUGCUUGGUUUGUUAUGCCAAAUAGGGUAGAAUUCAGGGAUGUUGCCAUCAGUGAGAUGGGCAUAUCAAGGAAUCUACAUCUGCAGCAAUUUUGAAACACUACCAGAGGCCCAGAUUCUCUGAUUCCCAAUUUUGAAGGUUAGCUUCAUUCUUAGUUGUACACAUUUACCUUUGUUGUUUAAAAAAUUUCAUUUCUACCA